CGCCGACCACCGAGUGACUGAAAGAACGCUCGUGUACGCAGGACUGCCCCGCGGCUCUUGGCUCGAACAACGGGAAGGACGGACAAGAGGCUGGAUCAAUUAUUGCUGCUUGUUUAUGGGGGCCAUAUGCGUGGCUUUUGGUUCAAACAACGCGGAGAUGUGCAGCCGGGUCAAGUUCCGGUUACUAGCAGAUGAGCUCUCCAACCCCAACCCAACCCGAGAGCCUGAACCUUCCUGCCCAACAGGCCAUGGUCCGGCGUGUCAGGACAGCGGCCACGACCAGUGCGGUCCCUGAACAGGGACUCCACCUAGUAUUGUAGGGAGCUGGCCCACUAAGGGCUGGUUUUCCGAACAACAUCUCUGUAAAUAAUAUUUUAAUAAAUGU
rnacentral:lncRNA from 1 species